ensembl:miRNA cin-mir-4000a-1 cin-mir-4000a-1
CGAAACUUGCGUGGAACAGGCUGUUAGAAUCCAGCCUUUUCAUGUAAAUUUCCAU